rnacentral:lncRNA from 1 species
GCAGCAGCAGCACCGACCCCGCUGGAACACUCAGCUCCUGCUGAGCAGCAGCAGCACCGACCCCGCUGGAACAGUCAGCUCCUGCUCAGCAGCACCACCGACCCCGCUGGAACACUCAGCUCCUGCUCAGCAGCAGCACCACCGACCCCGCUGGAACACUCAGUUCCUGCUCAGCAGCAGCACCACCGACCCCGCUGGAACACUCAGCUCCUGCUCAGCAGCAGCACCACCGACCCCGCUGGAACACUCAGCUCCUGCGCAGCAGCACCACCGACCCCGCUGGAACACUCAGCUCCUGCUCAGCAGCAGCACCACCGACCCCGCUGGAACACUCAGCUCCUGCUCAGCAGCACCACCGACCCCGCUGGAACACUCAGCUCCUGCUCAGCAGCAGCACCACCGACCCCGCUGGAACACUCAGUUCCUGCUCAGCAGCAGCACCACCGACCCCGCUGGAACACUCAGCUCCUGCUCAGCAGCACCACCGACCCCGCUGGAACACUCAGCUCCUGCUCAGCAGCAGCACCACCGACCCCGCUGGAACACUCAGCUCCUGCUCAGCAGCAGCACCACCGACCCCGCUGGAACACUCAGUUCCUGCUCAGCAGCAGCACCACCGACCCCGCUGGAACACUCAGCUCCUGCUCAGCAGCACCACCGACCCCGCUGGAACACUCAGCUCCUGCUCAGCAGCAGCACCACCGACCCCGCUGGAACACUCAGCUCCUGCUCAGCAGCAGCACCACCGACCCCGCUGGAACACUCAGUUCCUGCUCAGCAGCAGCACCACCGACCCCGCUGGAACACUCAGCUCCUGCUCAGCAGCAGCACCACCGACCCCGCUGGAACACUCAGCUCCUGCUCAGCAGCAGCACCACCGACCCCGCUGGAACACUCAGCUCCUGCUCAGCAGCAGCACCACCGACCCCGCUGGAACACUCAGUUCCUGCUCAGCAGCAGCACCACCGACCCCGCUGGAACACUCAGCUCCUGCUCAGCAGCACCACCGACCCCGCUGGAACACUCAGCUCCUGCUCAGCAGCAGCACCACCGACCCCGCUGGAACACUCAGUGACUAAAAACAAUAGAAUGUGUAAGUGUUUAAACAACUUGAAUGCAUCUGGUUUACUCUUUUCAAACGAGUGA